rnacentral:sRNA from 1 species
UCUCCAGCAUGCUGCGGCGGGGCAGCCAGGCGCUCCGGCGCUUCUCCACUGGCCGGGUUUAUUUCAAAAGCAAGCUGAAGUUGGCACUAAUUGGCCAGAGCCUCUUUGGACAAGAAGUCUAUAGCCACCUCUGCAAAGAGGGCCACCGAGUAGUAGGGGUGUUCACGGUUCCAGACAAGGAUGGAAAAGCUGACCCUCUGGCUUUGGCUGCAGAGAAAGAUGGGACCCCUGUGUUCAAGCUUCCUAAAUGGAGGGUCAAGGGCAAGACCAUCAAAGAGGUGGCAGAAGCCUACAGAUCUGUGGGUGCAGAGCUAAAUGUGCUCCCUUUCUGCACUCAGUUCAUUCCCAUGGAUAUAAUUGAUAGUCCAAAGCAUGGCUCUAUCAUUUAUCACCCAUCCAUCCUGCCCAGGCACAGAGGAGCCUCUGCUAUCAAUUGGUGAGAUUUUUUCUUUUUACUUUUUUUUUUUGAGAUGGGGUCUUGCUGUG